CAGUCGCCGCGGUAACACAGAGGGUGCAAGCGUUAAUCGGAAUUACUGGGCGUAAAGCGCGCGUAGGUGGUUCGCCAAGUUGGAUGUGAAAUCCCCGGGCUCAACCUGGGAACUGCAUCCAAAACUGGCGAGCUAGAGUAUGGUAGAGGGUGGUGGAAUUUCCUGUGUAGCGGUGAAAUGCGUAGAUAUAGGAAGGAACAUCAGUGGCGAAGGCGACCACCUGGACUGAUACUGACACUGAGGUGCGAAAGCGUGGGGAGCAAACAGGAUUAGAGACCCCCGUAGUCCCUGUCUCUUAUAC
rnacentral:rRNA from 1 species